rnacentral:piRNA from 1 species
UGGCAAUUUUAUUUUAUAAAA